GACGAACGCUGGCGGCGUGCUUUACACAUGCAAGUCGAACGGUGAAGGUGGAGCUUGCUCCGCCGGAUCAGUGGCGAACGGGUGAGUAACACGUGGGCAACCUGCCCCUAACUUUGGGAUAACUACUCGAAAGAGUAGCUAAUACCGGAUAUGAAGUCUGUAGGCAUCUACGGACUUGGAAAGUUUUUCGGUUAGGGAUGGGCCCGCGGCCUAUCAGCUUGUUGGUGAGGUAGUGGCUCACCAAGGCGACGACGGGUAGCCGGCCUGAGAGGGCGACCGGCCACACUGGGACUGAGACACGGCCCAGACUCCUACGGGAGGCAGCAGUGGGGAAUAUUGCGCAAUGGGCGAAAGCCUGACGCAGCAACGCCGCGUGCGGGAUGAAGGCCUUCGGGUUGUAAGCCGCUUUCAGCAGGGAAGAAGCGAAAGUGACGGUACCUGCAGAAGAAGCACCGGCUAACUACGUGCCAGCCGCCGCGGUAA
rnacentral:rRNA from 1 species